rnacentral:rRNA from 1 species
CAUAGGUUAAUGAGGCGAACCGGGGGAACUGAAACAUCUAAGUACCCCGAGGAAAAGAAAUCAACCGAGAUUCCCCCAGUAGCGGCGAGCGAACGGGGAGCAGCCCAGAGCCUGAAUCAGUGUGUGUGUUAGUGGAAGCGUCUGGAAAGGCGCGCGAUACAGGGUGACAGCCCCGUACACAAAAAUGCACAUGCUGUGAGCUCGAUGAGUAGGGCGGGACACGUGGUAUCCUGUCUGAAUAUGGGGGGACCAUCCUCCAAGGCUAAAUACUCCUGACUGACCGAUAGUGAACCAGUACCGUGAGGGAAAGGCGAAAAGAACCCCGGC